rnacentral:lncRNA from 1 species
AAACAAUAUCGUUUUGGUUGUGACAGGCAGAAACACCACGAUGGCAAUGACUUGUCUGAAGAUGCAAAGCCUCAGGUGUUCCCAUUAAAAGGAAUCAAUCAUCAGAUAGCUGCAAUCAUGCAUAAUGCAGUGUGUCAGCAGCUGCCUGCUGUGUGCGGUUAACUAGUUAUAAUACCUGUUUUCUCUCCUAGUUAAAAUGGCUGCUGCUGUCAAGUGGUACAUAUCUGUAGUCUGUGUAACUUGCUGUAUCAUAUAUGCCAUAAAAGGCUGUAAUUUAGAUCUUGUAUUGCUUUGGAGCGUUGAUCCCNNNNNNNNNNNNNNNNNNNNNNNNNNNNNNNNNNNNNNNNNNNNNNNNNNNNNNNNNNNNNNNNNNNNNNNNNNNNNNNNNNNNNNNNNNUUUAAAAAAAUUCUGAGUUCACAAACUCAUAAAAUUAUGAAUUAAAAAAAAGAGAUUAAAAUUAAAACUUGAUUAAUUUAAUUCUAUAAUAAAGAAUUGUAAAGAUUCUAUUUUACCUUUGAGCGGGUAGAUCUUUACCGCUAUCUGAUGAUCGAAGGAUUAAACCGUACAAGUGUCCAAUCUUUAUAGGUAUCCACACGAGGUACAGAUCGUUUCAAGCAUCUUGAUUUCAUCGGAGUGCUAGCUUCCUUACAGAAGAUUCUCUUUUGAAGGUUGAAACUUUUUUAAGCAAUUAACUUUUGAUUGCUUCCAAGAGGAGGAAGAAGGAAGAAGAAAAAGAAACAUUUUCUCUUUUUCUUGGAAGGAGGAAGAAGAAAAGGACUUCCUUGCGGUUAAAGAAGAGGAAGAGAAGGCUGAAUUCAAUAAUCUCUAAUGCAUAUUUAGCCCUCACGCCCCCCUCCUCUUUAUGUAAGCAUCUCAUGUCUAGCUUAAAGAAGGAAAAGGAUUUGGAGAAAUUCUUUCUUGAUUCACCCCUUCCAAUCCUUUACUUAAAAGAGGUUGGAGAGAACCACAACAUGGCCUCUCCUUGUGCCGUGUGGAAGGCCAAAAAAGGAAGGAGGGGUGGGGCGUGAUGCAAUCAAGAGGUUCUUGGCGUGAUUCAAGGAGGGGUGGAUGCCCCUCCUUUGUUUCACCCGAGGAAGAAAAGGAGGGGGAGUUCCUUCCUUUUAUGCUUUAGAUUUUCUAAUUCAAUUAGGAAUCAUAUGGUUCCUCUUGAUUAAUUGAAUCCUAAUCUAAUUAGGACCCAAUAUGUCCUCCAAUUUGAUUCAUGUAAAUCCUAAUCCAAUUAGGAUCCAAAUUGGAUUUAUGAAUUAAGUUCCUUAUCAAAUAAGGAGUUCUAAUUAAUUAGGACUUUCCAUCCUUAUCUAAUAAGGUUAAGCCUAAUUGAUUUAGUCCAAUUGAAAUCCUCCUUCUUUAACUCACUAACUCUUAGUGGGUUAAACCAAUUAUCAAUCAAAUUGACAAUCAAGAUAUAUUGCAAUUCUAAAUCGCAAUCCAACCGUCGGAAUGAUCAAAAUCUCUUAUAUGUGUGACCCCAUAGGUUCUAUUCUGUCUGAUAGUGAGAUAUAUUGUGAUCUCCAUCAUAAUAUUAUUGAAACUCCUUUCAAUUGGUUGAAAUAAUUUCAACUCUUUUCUUCAGAAUUUACUGAUCAUCAAGUGAAUGCCUUCGAGUCUCACAAUCCACCAGUGAUACCUAGCAGCAUGUAGUGACAAUCCAGUAAAACGGAAUAGAUGAACUUCUAGGUGCAGUUAGCGUAUGAUAUAGUCCUUCUAUCAUGGAUCCCGACAAGAUGGAGGUCAUGGAUAACUCCUCAAACCCCAUCAUCUGUCAUAUGUCAAAAUUUAUUUGACUUAAGUUCGAGAUUAGAAAACUCCUUUUCCAAAAUGUCUUAGCCAAGGUUUUUCGAACUCAGACUCAUAAAUCACAUAGGAUCUCUCUUAGUCUAUCAAGAUCGAUAGAUCCCAUCUAGAUGCAAUCCUAAUUCNNNNNNNNNNNNNNNNNNNNNNNNNNNNNNNNNNNNNNNNNNNNNNNNNNNNNNNNNNNNNNNNNNNNNNNNNNNNNNNNNNNNNNNNNNNNNNNNNNNNNNUCAGAGCAUGAGAAAAAUGCUUGCCACAUACAUCACAAAUACCCUGGAUUGCUUGUUUUAUCAUAUUAAUCUCCUUUUAUGGGCCUAGGAACAUCAAUGUUUCAUUCAAGUCAUCAGUGCAGAUAUUCAAUGUGGAUAUGAGGAAAUCUCCUCCUCCCUAGCAAAUUAUACUAAUAAGCACAUAGUUAUGAAAAUAUAAUUUCGUGUUAUGAAAAUAUAGCUUCAUGAUGAAAUCAGGACUCUCCAAGUAAAACGUUCUUUCAUUUGAACAACUUAGCAAUUUUCAUUUUAAGUUUUUCAAUAUUUAUUUCCACAAGCAAAAUGGUUACUUUUAGGAGGCCUAAGCCACAGAACUCAAGAUAAGUUGGUCUUUUACUAUGGCCUAUGGGGCAUCAGUAGUAACAGUUGAUUUUUCACACUGUUCGCAAUGCCUCCUCUGCUCCUUUCUUUGGUCGUAAGACAUAUGGUAUUCUAAGAUUGUCGGUGUUUCUUGUAGCGGAAUGUCAAUACCAAAAAUUCACUUGAAUAAAGAACAGAUUAAUGACACCUCAGCUGCUCUUUUCCUUUUUCUUUUUUUAACACUGGAUAAUCAGGUUUAUUUUUGAUUUGAUCUUAUUUUCAGGAGCCUGUUGCUUCAGUCAAGACUGGCCUGGAUCUAAAACAUGGAACAAAGACAGAAGUAUUUAAGUUGUCAAGUAGAGCUAAACAUUCACGACAGAAGCUAAUUGGCACGGCAGAUAGCAGUCUCCAUUCAAGCAAGACAACUGCUAAUAAAGUCACAAGCAACAAUAAAUCUGCCUCGGUUGCUUCGCAUGGAUCAGUUACAGAAGUAUGUUCCAAUAUUACGAGUGCAUGCCCGUUUUCUCUUGCCAUGGAAAGAAGAUCAGGCAGUAGGGAAAGUGCAGCGAGAUUGGAUUUGAAGACCCCCAACAGAUUUGUAUUAUCACAAAAUCAGGCAAAUGGUGGGUCAAGUGUGCAGGUGAGUUCAAAGAGGACUUCUGACAAUUGAUCAAUAUUGUAAUCUUUGAACCUUCUAGCUUUUUUUUUCCUUUUCUUUCUUUUUUUUUUCCCUUCUGAACAACACCCGUAGCACUUUUGAUUUCAAUAUCACAAUAAUCUUGCUGCAGUCACUGACUGUCCCAGUUGUCAUUUUUAUAGGGUGGUUCAAAGAGGAUGAACGCAACCUGUAGAGUGAAGAGCCAGGAACUACAAAUUAAAAGGUUAACUUGUUACAUGAUCAUGACAUCAUUUUGAGAAGAUAUAUGUUGCACUUUAGAUACUCAUAUUGUUGUUUUGUAAUAUCUGCUUUGAAUUUUUCAGGGACUGCAAAGAAGUGAUUAGACAAUCUUUGACAUCGGAGAGCCAGGGCACCUGCCUGAAGGGCAGAGCUGCCCAUGUUGUCAGACAAUCAAAGCCGAGGUUAAGAUCUCAACUGCAUCUGAAAUUUGAAAAUUAUGUUUUUGUUCUAAUGUUUUGCAAUUUUUUCCAAUAAUAUAUUAGAAAGACUAAAAUUUUAAAACAUCUCUUUUUUGAUUUCCAGUUCUACGAACCUUUUGGCAAGGAACAAAUCUAAUUCUGAUGGUGCGUCUGAAGUUCAGCUCACAAAUACCAUCCAAAGGAACAAACCAAAGGAGGUAAAAUGGCACAUUAUAGAUGCUUCUCUUGUUCAGCAACUUUUAUUUUCAGGGAGCCAUUCCUAGCUGACAAACAAGAAAAAGUUGUUUUACCUAGUUACUCGACCAUAUAUUGGCUCCUAAUCCUUUUAGGAAAUAUGAUAUUUGGAUGAUAAUCAGACCAAUCCGUUAGAAGAAUAGAUUCAGUUGCAAUAUGUUCAAUAAUAUAUGCAUCAAUCAUUAGACUCCGGUAAUGCCAAAACUUGGUAUGAUUCGGUCAUAUUAAUGUUCAACGGUACAAUCAAUUGACUUACCAAUUUUGAUUUAUGAUAUCAGAGCAAAUCAGCGCUGAAUGAUUUGGCAUCCAAAGUUCUCAUCCUUCAAAGUUCUCAUCCUUUCUUGUUUUGAAACUUAAUGAGAUUUAGAUGUUUCUUUUAUGUUUUUUAAUUGUGUGCCAAUUGUCACAUUUAGUAACGUUUUUUGGAACUCUUGUAAUUGCAAUUACAAAUUUGAGGCCUUAAUGCUUGGUGCAAAACUUCAUUUUAUACAAGUACAAAACUAUCAAUUGAGUUCUUGGAGUGUUAAAGCAUCUAAUCUCAUGCAAAGGAGCGGGUUUUAGUUUUUGAUCCCAUAGAUGAGGAGAGUCUCAUGUGAUGCAUGGAAGACAGAAGACAUUUAAUUGUAGGGCUGAAAUUGGAUAAGAUACGGAUCUAAUAGUAGUAUAUUCAUAUAUAUAUUGGUUUUAUUUGACAAAUACAGUACAGAUACGGAUGUUAGUCAGAUACAAAAAUGCACAUCCAUAUUUAUUUUAAACGGAUACGGGUAUAAAUCAGAUACCGAAAGUAUGGAUAUAAAUCGGAUAAUUAAACUUUAUGACCACAAAAUCAAAGAUAUUACUAAGUGGAUGAUCAAUCAAGUUAAUAGUAUGUUAAUGUGACUAUUUUUUUUUUAAGUUCAUGAGUGCUAUAUAAAAUUAAAUAAAAUUACAAAUGGAAUCAGAUAUUCAAAUAUGGAUUGGAUAGUUAUCUAUCCAUAUCCAUUUUUUUUUAUGGAUAUGGAUACGAAUACAGAUAUUAGUCGGAUGCUCAAAUUUCUUUCCAUAUCUGGAUCGAUUCAGAUACAAAAUUGGUUCUGAACGGAUAUUAUUUGAUCCACUUUCACCCCUAUUUAAUUGGUUCCACUCAACACAACUGAGUGACAUGCAACUCAAAUAGUACUUGGUGGUUGAAUUACAUGGAUUUGUAGGGGGGUUUUCUGUGAUGUAAAGGAGACUUAUCUCUAAAGAUUUUGCAGUAACUUCCUUAGCAUCAGACCUUGCUUUAUAACAACAUGCAUAACGAUCCUCUGAGCUCACUAGCAGAGCUGGAAAUAUAGCACUUUUCUAGAUUGUCUUAAAACUUUUUCUUAGGUGUGCUGUGAUUCUCAUGAAGUUGAUCAUGCAGGAAAAAGGGGACAGAAGGUGGAAGGGGCCUCAAGGACCUAGUACCAAGAUUGUUGCUCCUCUCACUGGAAAUCUCAGGACAGGAAAUAAAAAGGUGGGUUUCAUUCCUGCGUAUCCAAUGACCAUUAUUAUAGAACAACAGUGGUUUGUCCUAUAACCAUCUCUUGUGGCUACCAAGCAUUAGUGCCUGGCAGACAUUAGAUGACUGAUGACUGUGGAUCUGGCACAUUCCUGCAACUGUAACACAUUCCUUUAACCCUUGCUCUGAUGAGCAGCAUUAUCUUGUGGAAAGUAGGAACCAUGCAUCUCUUCUACUCACUUUUAUCCUGAAAACUACAGGAAUUUCCCUCCCGAACUGGUGAGGAAUCAAAUAAUCGGAGGGAACCCCAACUCAAUAUGUCACGGGAUGGGAGGAAGCCAAGGUGUGCUACUCUUUUGCACUUUUUGAAGCUUUGCGUAUUGAGGCAUUGCUGCUUAUGUUUUUGUUCCCGUCUUUCCCUCCAAACAAUAUCGUUUUGGUUGUGACAGGCGAGAAACACCACGAUGGCAAUGACUUGUCUGAAGAUGCAAAGCCUCAGGUGUUCCCAUUAAAAGGAAUCAAUAAUCAGAUAGCUGCAAUCAUGCAUAAUGCAGUGUGCGGUUAACUAGUUAUAAUACCUGUUUUCUCUCCUAGUUAAAAUGGCUGCUGCUGUCA